rfam:Triticum aestivum genome assembly, contig: Triticum_aestivum_CS42_TGACv1_scaffold_222968_3B
UGUCUACUCCCUCCGUUCGGAAUUACUCAACCAAGAAAUGAAUGUAUCUAGAUGUAUUUUAGUUGUAGAUAUAUCUAUUUUUAUCCAUUUUUGUGACAAGUAAUUUCGAACGGAGGGAGUAGUUU